rnacentral:rRNA from 1 species
CUACGGGCGGCUGCAGUGGGGAAUAUUGGACAAUGGGGGCAACCCUGAUCCAGCCAUGCCGCGUGAGUGAAGAAGGCCCUAGGGUUGUAAAGCUCUUUCACCCGUGACGAUGAUGACGGUAGCGGGAGAGGAAGCCCCGGCUAACUCGCGUGCCAGCAGCCGCGGUAAUACGGAGGGGGCUAGCGUUGUUCGGAAUUACUGGGCGUAAAGCGCGCGUAGGCGGCGCAUCGAGUUAGAGGUGAAAGGCCUGGGCUUAACCUGGGAACUGCCUUUAAUACUGAUGUGCUUGAGUCCGAGAGGGGGUGGCGGAAUUCCCAGUGUAGAGGUGAAAUUCGUAGAUAUUGGGAAGAACACCGGUGGCGAAGGCGGCCACCUGGCUCGGUACUGACGCUGAGGUGCGAAAGCGUGGGGAGCAAACAGGAUUAGAUACCCGGGUAGUC